rnacentral:rRNA from 1 species
AGAGUUUGAUCCUGGCUCAGAAUGAACGUUGGCGGCGUGGAUUAGGCAUGCAAGUCGCGCGACAAGCUUUCUUUAGCUUGCUAUUGAAAGUGGAGGAGCGGCGAAAGGGAGAGUAACGCGUGGAUUAUCUACCUUCAGGAUCGGGAUAGCUGCGGGAAACUGCAAGUAAUACCGAAUAAUGUCUCCGGACCAAAUGGUGCGAUUCCUCCUGAAGAUGAGUCCGCGUCCUAUUAGCUUGUUGGUAAGGUAACGGCUUACCAAGGCAUCGAUGGGUACCGGGUGUGAGAGCAUGGCCCGGCUCACUGGGACUGAGACACUGCCCAGACACCUACGGGUGGCUGCAGUCGAGAACCUUCGGCAAUGGACGCAAGUCUGACCGAGCGACGCCGCGUGCGGGAUGAAGGCCUUCGGGUUGUAAACCGCUGUCAGAGGGGAUGAAAUGCGUAGAGGGCUAUCCCUCUAGCUUGACAUAUCCUCAGAGGAAGUACGGGCUAAGUUCGUGCCAGCAGCCGCGGUAAGACGAACCGUACAAACGUUAUUCGGAAUCACUGGGUUUAAAGGGUGCGCAGGCGGCUUGGCAAGUUGGGUGUGAAAUCCCUCGGCUCAACCGAGGAACUGCGCUCAAAACUGCCAAGCUAGAGGGAGAUAGAGGUGAGCGGAACUUAGGGUGGAGCGGUGAAAUGCGUUGAUAUCCUAAGG